CAAUUUUCAGACAUUCCAUCACCUGGUUAAUGAGGUUGUAGUGGAAAAUAUGGGACUUGAGCAUAACGUAGAUGGUAUAGAAUAAGGGGUGGAUACUGUCCUGGUUUUGGCAGGGAUAGAGUUAAUUUCUUUC